GACGGAAGGUGCAAGCGUUGCUCGGAAUCACUGGGCGUAAAGGGUGCGUAGGCGGCUUGGUAAGUUGGGUGUGAAAGCCCCGGGCUCAGCCCGGGAAGGUCACUCGAAACUGCCGAGCUGGAGUGCCGGAGGGGAGAGUGGAAUUCCUGGUGUAGCGGUGAAAUGCGUAGAUAUCAGGAGGAAUACCGGUGGCGAAGGCAGGUCUCUGGGCUGACACUGACGCUCAUGCACGAAAGCGUGGGGAGUAAACAGG
rnacentral:rRNA from 1 species